UCGAAUCCUCUGCGAGAGCAGAACGACCCGCGAACUCGUGAUGACGCCCGCGGGGGGCGCGCUCCGCGAUCGCUCCCCCGCGUCUCCGCGGGUGCGGSACCYSUCCCGUUCGMGGGCGAMAAACGAACCCCCGGCGCGGACCGCGCCAAGGAAAUCUAACGAGAGGGCACGCCCCCGGGGCCCCGGACACGGUGCGCUCCGGGACGCGUCGCCUUCUUUCGCUCUGUCCAUGACGACUCUCGGCAACGGAUAUCUCGGCUCUCGCAUCGAUGAAGAAACGCAG
rnacentral:misc_RNA from 1 species